rnacentral:rRNA from 1 species
UGCCAGCCGCCGCGGUAAUACGAAGGGACCUAGCGUAGUUCGGAAUUACUGGGCUUAAAGAGCUCGUAGGUGGUUAAAAAAGUUGAUGGUGAAAUCCCAAGGCUCAACCUUGGAACUGCCAUCAAAACUUUUUAGCUAGAGUGUGAUAGAGGUAAGUGGAAUUUCUAGUGUAGAGGUGAAAUUCGUAGAUAUUAGAAAGAACACCAAAUGCGAAGGCAACUUACUGGGUCACUACUGACACUGAGGAGCGAAAGCAUGGGUAGCGAAGAGGAUUAGAUA